ACUGCCAGAAUUCUGAUUUCACACCUUUAUGUUCAUCCUGAGAUAGGAACGGAUCCCUUGUUUAUGGGGCAGACCCACACACCAUAUGUGGACUCUGUCCUAACGCCGGCACAGAGGGCAAACUGCUUGGUCAAAAUUGCCCUUACAAAUCACCCCAAAACACAAUGCUCAGUGGUUCUCCAAAAUAUAUACAGAACAGAUGUAAACAUAUUCAGGAAGCAGAACACAGACUGAAAUGAACAGCGGAUAAUAAAUAGCGUAUAUGUUAAAUCUAACUGGGCAUAUUCGAUUUGAACUAUUUCUCUCAUUUUGUCUUGCAAAAUGCAUAUCUUGGAAUUCCUAUAACUCACAUGUGGAUAUGGUGAGAAUCCAAAGUUGCUGAAUCAUGGAAUGGCCAGUCAGAGCCCAGGCUCCCUGAACAGCACUGGGCAGCCUCCGCCUCGCAGGUGCAGAGUCUCACGUCAGCAGAACCAGAAAAUCAACUACCAUCCACCUCACAGCUCCACAGUGAGGGCCGCUGAGAGCUGAAGGGCCUCC
rnacentral:lncRNA from 1 species